rnacentral:rRNA from 1 species
CCUACGGGAGGCAGCAGUGGGGAAUCUUGCACAAUGGAGGAAACUCUGAUGCAGCGAUGCCGCGUGAGUGAAGAAGGCCUUUGGGUUGUAAAGCUCUUUCGUCGGGGAAGAAAAUGACUGUACCCGAAUAAGAAGGUCCGGCUAACUUCGUGCCAGCAGCCGCGGUAAUACGAAGGGACCUAGCGUAGUUCGGAAUUACUGGGCUUAAAGAGUUCGUAGGUGGUUGAAAAAGUUGGUGGUGAAAUCCCAGAGCUUAACUCUGGAACUGCCAUCAAAACUUUUCAGCUAGAGUAUGAUAGAGGAAAGCAGAAUUUCUAGUGUAGAGGUGAAAUUCGUAGAUAUUAGAAAGAAUACCAAUUGCGAAGGCAGCUUUCUGGAUCAUUACUGACACUGAGGAACGAAAGCAUGGGUAGCGAAGAGGAUUAGACACCCUCGUAGUCCAUGCCGUAAACGAUGUGUGUUAGACGUUGGAAAUUUAUUUUCAGUGUCGCAGGGAAACCGAUAAACACACCGCCUGGGGAGUACGACCGCAAGGUUAAAACUCAAAGGAAUUGACGG